UUACAUUCGCUCCGUGUCGAUUCGAUCUCUACGUUCGCGAGCGACUGGUCGAUAAUGUUUAUAAUAACCUAGCCAAGAGGCAAUCUUUUUAGUUAACGCUCAAGCUACGCGCCAAGUCGGUAAAAAUUAAUUUUUGUCUGUGGUUCUCGUUCAAAACCGUCAAGAAACGUCAUCUGUCAGCUGUCAAGAGUGUCAAGUGAACAGCGAAUCUAAUUUUGGAGAAAAUAAUUGUUUUAUCGACAGCCGUCGUCCCCGCAGCCCCAACCAAGGCGGCGGCGCAGCCAGAGCGGGCAAGAGCGGGCUCCGCGGGCUCUUCUUCCACGCUGAGAAGUCCUCGCCAAGUUGGCAGUACAGUACAGUCAAAGCUGCCGCUGCAAUCUUCAUGACAGUUACCAGUGCUAAGGACAUGCACUGCUGGCUUACUUGACCAGAAGAGACAAUACUUUAAGCGUUAGUAAUGAUUCAAACCGUGAAGUGAAAUUGUGGACAGGUUUGCCCGAAUCAGUGUAACCUCAGUGAAAUCAUUUACUUCAUAGACUUCAAACAUUUUCGAAAUUAACAAAAGUCAAGCGGACAUUGAAUACAUAGAUGUUAUGCAUUAGAUAAGAUAAAAGCUGCCUGUGAAACCAAAACUAAUAAAUCAUAUUGUUACUUAA